CUCAUCUUCAGUUACAUUUCUAACGUCGAGUAAUAAAGUCUGCCUUUUCUCUUGAGUCACGGAUACGGAAUUCGCAAAAAAAAAAAAAUUACAGAAAAAAGAAAACUGAAUAGAGUGUAACAAUUUUUUUUGGUAUUCAGUUAAGAAAAUUUGUGAAUUUUGUCUGUCUGCGCCCACAUAAAAGUUGAGGAAUUUUUUUACCCAACAACAAAUUCGACUAUCCAAAAGAAUUUCAAGCGAAAAGUGGAUAGAAACCAAGGAAGGAAGGAACUACAACUACAACAACAACAAAAGCUAAAACAACGACAAUAAAAGCCAAAGUAAACUAAUUCACUAAGGGUGUGCGUGUUUCUAUACGCCGUAAAAAAAUAUUACGAAGAAGAGGAAGAGCAAGACUCCUUCGUGUCCUAUUUGUGUGCACGUUUGUCUGUAUGAGUGCUUGAAUUGCCGCAGCAGUGCGCAUUUGUCGUCUUCUUCAUCGUUGUUGGGAGUUGUGAUAAGAAAUUUUCAGUCGUCCGUAUACACAUUCCCCCCCACGGAAAACACCACCGCCGCCUUCAGCCGCCAACAACAUCAGCAACCCCCUCGUGUGCAAGACUCCAAAGGGGAGAUUACUAAGACUAUCAGCAGCAACAGCAAAGCGGCGCAGAGAAAAGAGAAGAUUUGUUUUAUAUGUGUCACUGUGUUCCAUUGAAAAUUGUGUCGUUCUCCUCGUAGUGGGACAAAAACGUAACUUCACAAAAUACACAGCCAGCCAAGCGUUGAUACUCCAAUUAAGGGACACCCAAGAAGUGUCCUUUCUGUCCACUUGAAAACCUCAGGCGUCGUAGCUGAUCCAACGAAUUUGCAGCGCUAAAACACAGUGAAAGACUGCUGUGACAGCCUUCCACUUUAGUCGGUCAAUAUAAGUGCAAUAGCCACUACUGCUGGGUGCGGGCGAAUCUGUGCCCCACCUCCGGUAAGCCAACUCAUGUCCACCUUCAUGUCGUUCAUGUUGUCAAUGUCAUUUGUUUUCGUUUCUUGCGUUCCUUGCGUUCGUUCUGUUCGAUCCUUUGGUUUUGUGCCACGUCUGUGUUUACCGAGAGUUCAAUCAAAACUCGAAUAAUUAAUUUGCGCAUACAUUUUCUCUUUAGUUCGUUAAUAAUUUGUUUUUUUUUUUUCUUUUUUAUUUAUUUACUACCCCAUAUUAAAUAUUGUUAUAAUGGUGUAUAUAAAUAUGUACAUACCCGUACAUAUAGUAUAUAUUGUAUUUGUUUGUUGUCUAUAUUUAUGUUUACAUACUGUAUCGUACUUGUUUACAAAUAUGUACAAUUACAUUUACAUAUGAUUUUCAUUAAAUUUCAUUUUAUUCUCUGCACAAACAAAUUAAAUCACUUUUUUUUAAAGAAGGAAAAAUAGCAAAGGGAAAACAACAUAUGUAACAUUAUGCAACAAAAUUAAAAAAAAAAUGUUUGUUAAGCGGGCGUUUAUUUAUUAAAAAAAGACAUGAGGCUUUUGCCAUAAUUUAAUUUUUAAAAUUGUUUUUCUCAACAAUUAUUUUUGGUAUCU